AAACCCGGUUGAAACAAGAUUUGUCGUGAGGAGUCAGCAGAAGCCAUAGUACAGAGGUGGUCUAGACACCGACGAAAGGGC
rfam:Desulfitobacterium dichloroeliminans LMG P-21439, complete genome.